CCAGCCUCCGGGUCCUCCUCCACCCAAAAAGGGUUCCUCCAGCCUCCAGGUCCACCUCCACCCUAAAAGGGUUCCUCCGGGUCCUCCUCCACCCAACAAGGUUUCCUCCGGCCUCCGGGUCCUCCUCCACCCUUAAAGAGUUCCUCUGGCCUGCGGGUCCUCUUCCACUCAAAACUAGUUCCUCCGGCCUCUGGGUCCUCUUCCACUCAAAACUAGUUCCUCCGGCCUCCGGGUCCUCUUCCACUCAAAACUAGUUCCUCCGGCCUCCGGGUCCUCUUCCACUCAAAACUAGUUCCUCCGGCCUCCGGGUCCUCUUCCACUCCAAACUAGUUCCUUCGGCCUCCGGGUCCUCCUCCACCCAAAAAGGGUUCCUCCAGCCUCUGGGUCCUCCUCCACCCAAAAAGGGUUCCUCCGGGUCCUCCUCCACCCAGAACGGGCUCCUCUGGCCUUCUGGAGGCCAGAGGAGCCUCCAGGAGGAACCCCAAAAAGGGUUCCUCCGGCCUCCGGGUCCUUUUCCACUCAAAACUAGUUCGUCUGGCCUCGGGGUCCUCUUCCGCUCAAAACUAGUUUCUCCGGCCUCCGGGUCCUCUUCCACUCAAAACUAGUUGCUUCGGCCUCCAGGUCCUCCUCCGCCCAGAAAGGGUUCCUCCGGUUUCUGGGUCCUCCUCCACUCAAAAAUGGUUCUUUUGGCCUUUGGGUCCUCCUCCACCCUAAAGAGGCUUUUUUGGCGGGAGGGUUCUCUGCCACCCUUCAGUGGGUUUUACUGGCCUUCUGCUACACUUGUAUCCUGCAGCAGGUAGGUCACCAUCAGCCGGUGAGUCAAUUUUUUUCAGUUCAUGAAGGCUGCCUUGUCGCUCACUUACAACAACCACAAUAAAUAACAAGAAAAACGACAGCAAAACUACAUUCUCAAGGUGCUUUCAAGUAAACUUGGAUCAACUAUGGAACAACAACAAAAAACAAUAUUCUCAAGGUGCUUUCAAGGAAACUUGGAUCAACUAUGGAACAACAACAAAAAACAAUAUUCUCAAGGUGCUUUCAAGGAAACUUGGAUCAACUAUGGAACAACAACAAAAAAACAAUAUUCUCAAGGUGCUUUCAAGGAAACUUGGAUCAACUAUGGAAAAACAACAAAAAACAAUAUUCUCAAGGUGCUUUCAAGGAAACUUGGAUCAACUAUGGAAAAACAACAAAAAACAAUAUUCUCAAGGUGCUUUCAAGGAAACUUGGAUCAACUGUGGAACAACAACAAAAAACAAUAUUCUCAAGGUGCUUUCAAGGAAACUUGGAUCAACUAUGGAACAACAACAAAAAACAAUAUUCUCAAGGUGCUUUCAAGGAAACUUGGAUCAACUAUGGAAAAACAAAAUUCAAAUUGCUCUCAGCAAAAUAUCACAUCAUUAGCUGGUUUUUCAGGGAACCUAUAGAACAGCAACAAAAACAUUUACAAGGUGCUCUGGAAGGAAUUACAUCCCAACACUGAGGAAGAAUUUUGACAACCAGCGAGGCAUCAGACUGUUUUUAUGGCUCCUGCACAGUCAUCCAGCAAUAUGAAGAUAAGGAAAUGAUGAAGACUACAAUAAGAGCCAGAAGCCAUGGUAUACACUGAUAACCUGUCUUGUUUGUGUGUACUGUACUGGUUGUGCUUGCAGUCCUUUUUCAGGGACAAGCUGCUGCUGUUUUACAUCAUGGGGUCUACAAGGAGAUGGUCUUUGGUUCCUCCAUCCACGUGAGAAGUUGAGCCAGGCAUCCUCAUGCUGGGGACCAUAGCCAGAGUGUUCAUUCUACAAGAAGACCCUGAUGCCCUCCAUCUCCGAUGAGAUGCAGUGCCAGGAUUCAGAUUGGGUUGUCAACUAACCACCGGAUACCUGAAGCCAUUGGAGGCCAGAGCUGCUCUAACGUAGUUCCGACAACAAGUGCUUGCAGGUCCUGCCAGUAUCAGCCCUGACUCCUGAAGGACCGUGCAAACUGCAAGAGGCUCCUGGUCAUCUUCUUAACCUGAGCCCAAGUCUGGAGAGGAUCCCGACUUUGUGGAAGACUUCCUGCAUGGUUCCGGUCCUGAAGACGUCGUACCUCAGGGAGCUGAACCACUUCAGACCCUCGCCUUUCAUCUGAUGAAGUCCAGGGAGGAGCUCAACCUUGGCACACCUGUUCCCUGGUGAGCUCAAGCCUGGACCCCCUGUGGCUCGCCCACCAGCCAGACAUCAGGGUGGACAACACCGUUGUCUACCUGCUGCACAGGUCCCUGGUUCACCUGGAGAACCCCAGCAGUGCUGUGAGGGUCACGGUGUUUGACUUCUCCAGUGGAGAAGGUCACAUCUGCACCUGCUGAGGAGACCGAGGUCCUUCGGAGCGUGCAGGACUCUUGUUACGGACGUUUUACAAUAGUGUGACAGCGUCUGCUUUCCUUUAUGCAGUGGUUGGCUGUGGAGGAAGGAGCACAGAAAAAGACUGAACUGGUCAGGAGGGGCAGGUCUGUCCUGGAGUGUUCCCUGGACUCUGAGGAGGAUGCUGGCCAAGCUGGCAUCCUUCAUGGACAACCCCUCUCACCCUCUGCAUAACAUUGUUGGGGCCUGAGCAGCCCCUUCAGCCAAAGACUGUUACACUGUCCCUUUAAGGAGUGCCAGAUCAUUCAAGUCAGGGUCGGGCAACUUUGGUUACCAAGGAAGCAGGAUAAAUUCUGUUUUUUCUUUAACCAGAGAUUUUGAGAUUAAUUGUGAUUCAUUUGAUGCAUAAUUAGUGCAUUAUUAUUUUAAUCCAGAGUAAUCUCACACUUUGGUUCAGCUUCUUCAAAGUCUCCCUACAGCCACAGUUCUGAAAAAUAAGUCGAUCACUGAUCCUCAUUUUUUUACUUCCCUUUUGAAAACUCAGACAGCUCAGUGGACAAGUCAAAAGUCAUCUGCACAUUACGUUAUCAACAUUUACCUUCACCUGAAAUUUAAAUAGUGAUUAAUGUGAUUGAACAUGAUGUGAUUAAUUGCAAUUAACUGCAGGGAUUCUGAGUUAAUCCUGAUUAAAAAUGUUGAUCAUUUGGCAGCCCGACUUACAAAUUAAUGAACCGUCAUUUAUGUUUUGACAGCUUGAAUGCAAACAGAAAAUCUUAAUGAGUUAACAUGAAAUAAAACAGGAUUUCAGCAGCUUCUUAAAUGGCAUGAUCAGUUUUUAUACCAAAGUGUCUUUGACUUGCAUCUCCUUUCCCUCCAAACGCAUCUAUUAAUGCUUCUUUAAAGGGUUUUACUGAAACAAAUACAGUCGGUUCCCUUCAUUAAUGUCCUACAAAGAACAAAACAUGCACUAGUAAUCCUGUUUUACAAGAUUACGUUAAAAAAUUUCUUUUUCAUAUUUUUUAUAAAUUAUUCAUGCUGUUGUGCAGGUGGAUUUACUUCUUGACUGAUGAUCUCAUGUUUACAAUUUGUUGACAGUAGAAAUUUUCUCCUAGGUCUCUUCUAUUUUAACUCGUAUACAGUAGAUAUAAGAGCUUACAUUAAUGUGAUUAUGCUUUUAUGUCUGUUUGUACAAAUAUGUAUGUGAACACUGUCCCACAGAUGUUACAGCCAGCUAUCCAAAAGUCUUUGCUCCUCAACAUGUUCAAUUAUUGAUAAUACUAUUACAGUUUAAGAUGUGUAAUGAAUGCCUGGAUAUUUUUCCCUCAAUUAAAUCAGUACCAUUCACACUGUUUUCUUCAAAUCUGGUCUUGAUCCUUCCACAAGUCAACAUGUGCAUGUGUACAAUUGUAAAUAAGACUAUUAUAUCACUUUUUGUCAUAUGGUAUUUAUUUAUUGUUGGCA